rnacentral:rRNA from 1 species
GGGUGUUUAACUGGCGUGAAGUGGGACGUCCUUCCGGUGGGCUUAGCCUCACCAGGGGUGGCCCACCUCCUAUCCCGUCGCGGUGCUCUUUACUGAGUGUCGAGUCCGGCCGGUACGUUUACUUUGAACAAAUUACAGUGCUUAAAGCAUGCUAUCCUCGGCUGAAUACUGCGUGCAUGGAAUAAUGGAAUAGGACCUCGGUUCUAUUUUGUUGGUUUUCGGAACCCCGACGUAAUGAUUAAUAUGGACAGAUGGGGGCCUUCUUAUUGCGACGUUAGAAGGGAAACUCUUGGAUCGUCGGCAGACGGACAGAAGCGAAAGCAUUUGCCAAAUAUGUUUUCAUUAAUCAAGAACGAAAGUUAGAGGUUUGAUGGCGAUCAGAUACCGCCCUAGUUCUAACCAUAAAUGAUGCCAGCUAGCGAUCCGCCGAAGUUCCUCCGAUGACUCGGCGGGCAGCUUCCGGGAAACCAAAGCUUUUGGGUUCCGGGGGAAGUAUGGUUGCAAAGCUGAAAUUUAAAGGAAUUGACGGAAGGGCACCACCAGGAGUGGAGCCUGCGGCUUAAUUUGACUCAACACGGGAAACCUCACCAGGCCCAGACACCGGAAGGAUUGACAGAUUGAUAGCUAUUUCUUGAUUCGGUGGGUGGUGGUGCAUGGCCGUUUUUAGUUGGUGGAGAGAUUUGUGUGGUUAAUUCCGAUAACGAACGAGACUCUAGCCUGCUAAAUAGGCGUACCUUAUGGUAUCGCGAAGGCCCCCGGCUUCGGCCGGUGGGUUUUUACUACCAACGUACAAACAAAUCUUUUUAGAGGGACAGGCGG